UGGGGAAUUUUGGACAAUGGGGGAAACCCUGAUCCAGCCAUGCCGCGUGAGUGAAGAAGGCCUUCGGGUUGUAAAGCUCUUUCAGUCGGAAAGAAAACUUCUUGGCCAAUACCCAAGAAGCAUGACGGUACCGACAAAAGAAGCACCGGCUAACUACGUGCCAGCAGCCGCGGUAAUACGUAGGGUGCAAGCGUUAAUCGGAAUUACUGGGCGUAAAGCGUGCGCAGGCGGUUCGCUAAGACAGGCGUGAAAUCCCCGGGCUCAACCUGGGAACUGCGCUUGUGACUGGCAAACUAGAGUACGUCAGAGGGGGGUGGAAUUCCACGUGUAGCAGUGAAAUGCGUAGAGAUGUGGAGGAACACCGAUGGCGAAGGCAGCCCCCUGGGAUGAUACUGACGCU
rnacentral:rRNA from 1 species